rnacentral:rRNA from 1 species
CCUACGGGUGGCAGCAGUCGAGAAUCAUUCACAAUGGGGGAAACCCUGAUGGUGCGACGCCGCGUGGGGGAAUGAAGGUCUUCGGAUUGUAAACCCCUGUCAUGUGGGAGCAAAUUAAAAAGAUAGUACCACAAGAGGAAGAGACGGCUAACUCUGUGCCAGCAGCCGCGGUAAUACCGAGGUCUCAAGCGUUGUUCGGAAUCACUGGGCGUAAAGCGUGCGGAGGCUGGUUCGUAAGUAGUGUGUGAAAGGGGCGGGCUCAACCCGCGGAGGGCAAAUGAUACUGGGAGACUAGAGUAGAGGAGAGGGAACCGGAAUGCUCGGUGUAGCAGUGAAAUGCGUAGAUAUCGAGCGGAACACUCGUGGCGAAGGCAGGUUCCUGGACAUUGACUGACGCUGAGGCACGAAGGCCAGGGGAGCGAAAGGGAUUAGAUACCCCUGUAGUC